rnacentral:misc_RNA from 1 species
GGAAGUAAAACGUAACAAGGUUUCCGUAGGUGAACCUGCGGAAGGAUCAUUAUUGUAUAACCGAGGUGCGAGGGCUGUCGCUGACCCGAAAGGUCGUGCACGCCCGAGUGCCCUCACACACAUCCAUCUCACCCCUAUGUGCACCACCGCGUGGGUCCCCCUUUGGCUUGUUCGGAGGGGGGCUUACGUUUUCACACAAACUUUGUAUGCAGAGUAGAAUGUAUUUUUUGUUUUUGCGAUCACGCAAUCAAUACAACUUUCAACAACGGAUCUCUUGGCUCUC